rnacentral:lncRNA from 1 species
CACUCCUUUAUUCCUUUGCUUGGGACUGUGGACACACAUUCUUCUUAGACCAUAGGGUCACAAAGGCUAUUAAAUUGAAAAAAUAGUACAAUUUUUAUUUUGUUUUUAAGAAUUGAGUGUGUAUAUGCAUUGAAAAAAAGCUGAAAGAAAAUAUAUCAAAAUACUGAAAAAGUUUAUUGCUGGUUGUGGGUGGUUUUAAUUUCUAUUUUUCUGUUUUCCCCCCAAAAUUUCUGCAAUGAAUGUGUUUUUCUAAAGGUAUCCUACAAAAGUUACUAGUACCACUGAAAUAGUGCUGCUAUGUUCAAAGUAGCAGCUAUAACUAGAAGAGAUGCAUUGCAGAUAGCCGAAAGCUUGAAGAACGUACUUUAGAAAUUUCUAAAUUAUUUUGGAUAUUUUUCUUUGAAAAUAUUUUGGGUAAUCUGUGAAUAUAAAAAUAGCUUAGCUGAGAUAGUUAGGUGAACAAUUUCAAUGGAGUUAACAUUCAGAGAGCAGUGGACCAAUUCUCUUUACUACUGUCCUAAAUUUAUAGAAAAAGUGAGUCUGUACAGAAAUUUGUAGCCGCAGCCUAAAACAUUUCCAGCAAUGUCUUUAUACCUUUGUAAUGAAAUUUAAGUAAGUAAAUGACAAGACCCCUAUUCAACAGAUCUCCUGGACUCUCAUUUUGAGAAUCAUGUUUCUCUCCGCGUGAGUUGCACCAAACCAUUCAGCUAUUAUUAAGUGUCUCAUUGUCUGUCUGUUUACCUAUGUCUUUGAUACCAAGUAAAUUAGACUACAGUCAUGUUGGCACAUUUCCACUUGCUGCUCAGGAGGUAUUGAGAUCAAUGAACACUAACCUGAGGAGCAUAUUUUUACCAAAUUAAAGAGCUACAGUGAAAUAUGUGUUCCAGGUUCCUGGUUUUAAGCUAAAUAUGCAUCAGUUAUCUCUGAUCAGGGGAAACAGAGGGUGGGUAAGUACUUCCACCUUCUCUGUGUGUUCUAAGUUCCUUAA